rnacentral:lncRNA from 1 species
AAACAGGAUCUCAGAGGCUGGCAACUCUUUGGGGGGGAAUAACACGCAGAAAACACUACUAUCGCUAAUAUUUUCAAGGGGGUUUGAUGUCCCAGAGCUUUCACACCUCCACACAAGAUGGCCAGCCUCGUAGGGUAGGAUGAGGAGGAGGAAGAGGAAGCUGCACUCUUCCUCCUUUCGAUAGCGCAGAGGCGAGGAGCAGAUGGUGCGAGAGAUUGGAAACAUCGUCUGGAGUCGGCCAACCCUGGGCUAAUGGCAAGCUGUGCUGGCAGCGCCGCCCAAACAGUAGCAGAAACUGAGGGCGCCGGGAUAAAACUCUCUUCUCCACAGAUCUAGUGCGGAUGCCUUGUCUAGAAUCAGUUUCAUCGAAACAAACUGGCAUUGGUCUAAAUCCACAAAAUUCCUAACACCUGGCAGGAGAUGCUGCGGGUAAAAAUUUACGGUUGUUUAACAGAUUCCCUAAGAAUUAUCUAUCUCCAGCAAGUCAACAUUCCCAGUGUGUGUUCUCAAUCCUGUUUUUAUACAGGGUAAACCCAGUGUUACCUUUGGAGAAAGUACCAUCACUGAGGUAGUUUCUAUGCAACGACGAAACGUUCAGUGGGGUGGCCGGGUCAGUGCACCAGGGCCCAGAAGAAAAUGUGCAGUUUAUGUUGACAUAAACUACUGCAACCAUUUGCCUUAUAAAAGGUAGGUCAGUGGCAUAGCCCGGGACACAUUGUGGCUACGAGGGCCCAAAAAACAAUAUCUGCACUGGGCCUCUUUUCUGUGGUUACAAUCUGAGGUCUGCAUCUACCAAUCAUUGGUGAGUUUCUUCCAGUAAACCUAACUCCAGCCUCUCAGUCAGAGAACGAUUUUAUUUUACUGUGCUGGAUUAGAAAAAUGAAGGGAAGACUCUUUUUCCUUGUACAACAAGAAAACACAGACAGCAGUUUGAUUGAGUGGUUUAUUACAGCCUAAUAUCACUUUUACUGGAGAGGAGACUGGGCUCAUUGGAUGGGUCCGAACAUACAAGUUUGUUUCUCAUUUCAAACCCAGUCUUUGUUGUUUCUUUAAUCACAACCAUCGUAUGACCUUAACAGUAAGUUUAUUAUUGUCACAGUAAUGAGAAAAGUCCUCUCAUGUCAACAAAGCACCUUUUUUUUCAAGCCUAAAGUCUCUCCAAACCUAAUUAAA